GUCCCUAUAGCUCAAUUGGUUAGAAAUACUUAAGCGUAUGACUGUUAAUCAUAAGGUCGAGAGUUCGAGUCUCUCUGGGGACG